UGCAGGUGAAACAAACAGCCAUGUUGCUCACACAAAGCCUGUUUGGUGGUCUCUUCUCACGGACACACAUGAAAUUUGGUGCCAUGACUCGGAUUGGGGGACCUCCCUUGGGAGAUCAAUCCCCUGUCCUCCUGCUCUUUGCUCCGUGAGAAAGAUCCACCUAUGACCUCAGGUCCUCAGACCAACCAGCCCAAGAAACAUCUCACCAAUUUCAAAUCUGUGCCGCUUGACCCCAAUACAAACUCGACAGUAGUUCCAAAUAGCCGGAAAACGGCAUUUUCAAUUUUUCCAUCCUAUAAGAUCUAAAUAAUUCUUGUCGUAAAAUGGGCAAAUGGUCUGAGGUGCCUGACGUCCAGGCAUUCUUUUACACACGAGUCCCUCUCUAGUCUCUGUUCCCAAUGCAACUCGUCCCAAAUCUUCCUCCUUUCCCGCCCGCCUGUCCCCUCAGUCCCAACCCCAAGCGUCGCUGAGUCUUUCUAAUCUUCCUUUUCUACAGACCCAUCUGACCUCUCCCCUCCUCCCCAGGCUGCUCCUCGUCAGGCCGAGCUAGGUCCGAAUUCUUCCUCAGCCUCCGCUCCUCCACCCUAUAGUCCUUUUAUCACCUCCCCUCCUCACACCAGGUCCAGCUUACAGUUUCGUUCCGUGACUAGCCCUCCCCUACCUGCCCAGCAAUUUACUCUUAAAAAGGUGGCUGGAGCUAAAGGCAUAGUCAAGGUUAAUGCUCCUUUUUCUUUAUCCCAAAUCAGAUAGCAUUUAGGCUGUUUUUCAUCAAAUAUAAAAAUCCAACCCAGUUCAUGACUCGUUUGGCAGCAACCCUGAGACACUUUACAGCCCUAGACCCUAAAAGGUCAAAAGGCCAUCUUAUUCUCAAAAUACAUUUUAUUACCCAAUCUG
rnacentral:antisense_RNA from 1 species